UGAAGUUAGCAAGCGGUUUGCAGCUCGCUAUUCGCUACUCCAGCUUGCUAUUGAUUGUUACAGCUUGCUAGUUUUUUUUUUUUUUUUUUUUUUUUUUUGCUUUUUGCAAAUUAAAAAAACACGAAUGUGGAGUUUUCAGAUAAUAAACUUUAACGAGCAAGAAAACGAGACGUAGCCACAGCUGCAUGGGAACCUCAGCAUUUCCCCGGGUCAUUAUUAAUAGCGGGCUGUCGAGUUAGACUGUUUAAAGUCGUUCGUGACUUCAGUGACUCAGACCCCUUGUUUUUGUACCUUGGAAGCGUCAGUUCCGGUCUGUUUGGUAUCGUCGUGAUGAAUAAGUUUGUUGCCCAACUUGUUUGAUUUUGAACAAACUUGGUUUCGAUUUCAUGCACGUACGCAGUUAGUUUCAGCUGCAGGGAAAGACGAGCGCUUGCGAUGAGUGGAUUUUAUGUUUUUUAGUGUUGAGGACAGUGCUUUAUAAAUCAGUAAUUAACAAUAAUAAUAAUUAUAACACAAAUAAACGCGUAAUAAUAUUAAUCAGAUCAGAUUUGUGCGUUGGUGUCUGCGCCACAGGGCAGCUGUUUUUGAAAAUCUGUGCUGCUUGCACAAACUGCGCAUGCGUGAUUCGCUUUUGUUUUUUCAGCGUUAGCGUGAGUUUAAUGAGGAAACGAAUUCAUUUAUACGCGUAUUUAUGUGCAAUUGUUUGCAUUCCUCGUAUAAUAAACUCGCUUCAUGAGGUUUUCAUUAUGUGUACUUGGUUUUAUCGGUCGUAUAAUAGUAAUAGAAUAUAAUGUAAAGUCACGACACUUAGUCAACACGGGUCCUUUCAGCCUCUCCAGGUGAGCUACCCGGAGUUUAGCGGGUUAAAACCUGUCCAUUUUAUUUAAAGCACAGGUUAGCCCAUGUUGAAGCGUCAUUUCUGCCUCUGCAAGUUACCUACCUAUUGUUCAAUUGAGGUAUCGCAUGUGGAGGGGGAGGAGCAGAUUUUCAGAACACCGCCCCUCAAACACAAGCGCUGUACAAACCAAUUCAAUUGCAAUACUGUACAGAAACUCUCUCAUCUUCAGAUUCAUGUCGAGACACAGUCAAUAGAUCUGCAGCGGGCUUGUCUGUAUCCACAGUAUUGAUUAUGUUGAAAAAGUCCCCUGGCUCGACAUUGUCAAUACCUUUUAGGAUUUUGAAUGCUUGAAUCAGAUCGCCGCGUAGUCUUCUUUGUUCAAGACUGAAUAGAUUCAAUUCUUUUAGCCUGUCUGCAUACGACAUGCCUUUUAAACCCGGGAUAAUUCUGACCGCUCUUCUUUGCUCUCUUUCUAGAGCAGCAAUAUCCGUGUACACAUAGUAAUACAAAAGCAGCAUUUUUAAAGUUACAUUAAAACCAAUGAAGAGAAGAAACCCAUUUUAUAAAAGUGUGUUAGACUGUCAUUGCAAGAGAGAUAGUUGUGUUUCUUUAAUUCAUGUUGAACUUGCACCCUGUAUUAUAAAACUGUACAGCUUUGCAAAUAUCCAGGUAUAGAUACAAAAUCUACAUUAACAACAGGGGCAAAGUGACGCAAAGGAAAUCCCAUUCACACCAAACCAGAUUCACUUUACCAAUAACAAAAACACACCGCUCUGUCGCUUUUAUUAAUCAUUAUUAUUACAAUAUUAGUAUAAAUUUCUUAGCAGACGCCCUUAUCCAGGGCAACUUACAAUUGUUACAAGAUAUCACAUUGUUUUACAUACAAUUACCCAUUUAUACAGUUGGGUUUUUACUGGAGCAAUCUAGGUAAAGUACUUUGCUCAAGGGUACAACAGCAGUGUCCCCCACCUGGGAUUGAACCCACAACCCUCCGGUCAAGAGUCCAGAGCCCUGACCGCUACUCCACACUGCUACACUACAAUAACACAGGCGCGAUUUGUUUUACACAAUAUAUUAUAUAUUCACUUCGUUUGAAUUUGCAAACAAACAAAUAGCAGACUCAUCCAAAAAAAUAUUUCAACCCAGUACUGGAGUAACAGCAAUAAUAAGAAGGGCUUGGGAUGAUGAAACCUCAUGAAAUGAUAAGGGGGCGGUCUAAAGAAAGGAUCUUUUGAGGCUCUGUACUCAUUAGUUACUGACUUGUUUCAGUUCUGCUGCAGAAACACAGCUAACCGAGGAACGAGUGAAUUGGAAGAGAGAGAGACAUGAACCCAACUCCAAGGAGAAGGAACAGCAAAGAGCCUGCCAGAGGGAAAGCUCAGGAGCAGACAGAGGGGGGCUCGGAGGACAAGGAGGAACUGGAGAGACUAAGGAGGGAAAACAAGGAGCUGGAGGCGAUGUACAAGGAGGAGAAACUGAGGAGAGAGGAGCUUGAAGAGACCCUCCGAGACCUCAAGCCCCAGUGAAUGGACCCCCAGUUUGAGACUCUAGCCACCCCCACAGCAACAAUAUAUUUCUUUCAAAACGGUCUUCAGAAUUAGUUGUCCCUCUCUAAGCCGGACACGUCUGGAGUUGUCUGAGUUAAAAAACAAACAAACAAAAACAUUUUGUAUAAAUAUCUACAGUAGGCCUAAACUACUGGCUCUUAGUCGAAUUUGCUCUCAAACGUGAUUAUUUUCUGUAUUGUUCUCAGUUGAAUUUGCUCCUGUUUGCCGCUGAUUUGACUGUAUUUUUAUAACGGCUCUUAUCUGUAAUGUGAUAUUUUGUAACUCCUGUAAGUCGCCCUGGAUAAGGGCGUCUGCUAAGAAAUAAAUAAUAAUAAUAAUAAUAAUAAUAA